ACAUAUAUAUAUAUAUAUAUAUACGGAUAGCAAUAUAAGCAAACACUGCGAACCGCGUACGUGACAUAAUAAAGAUAUAUCGCCGGGUCGUGGAUGGUGGCGAAUUGGAUACGUACACAUAGGAUGUGCUACAGUUCAGGAGGCUGCGAAUUAGACAGCGGAGUCGCGCGAACUAUCCCGUAAUUACGUAUAGGUGAAUAUAUCCUAGAUUUCGAUUAAGACGUUCGACCGCUGUUACUCAACCGUGAGCGAAGUUGGGUAACGUCAGGCUAGGUUUAUAAUAUACCGCAGCGGGAGCCCCUGCACCGGUAUACGUAUAUAUCCGUACUACACUCGCGCAGAAAACGACCUCUCCUCGCUACAACAGCGAGACAAAACCCAUUCGAAAAGGAUUGAAACACCGAACGUAAUUAACCUGGUGGGGAUUUCCCGUUAAGCGCGUGUCGGCGGUAAAAUAUUCCACGGUACCGCUUCAGAGUGAACUCAGAAACGGAACCGGGGAGGCGCGCACAACGCACGCUUUAAACUCGGUCGACUCCGAGGAGGACUCGCGAGAUAAAAUUCAAUCCAUGUACACAUGCAUACCGUACACCGCGACACCCCGUACCGUACACACGUUGAUACAUGUACAUGUACAUGUAUAUGUAUGUACACACGUUCGUGUGUGUGGGUGAAGGUGCAACGGCAGUACUGAAAGAGGAUAUUCAAUAAAGAUGCGCUUACACUCUGUCCGCGUCUGUUUGUACCGUGCAAACAAAUUUUAUUUCCUCGAACGCGCUACGCUAGACGUAGGUACGUGUGUUAUCCCGAAACGUGUACGUUUAUUACGUGUUCUAUGUAUAAAAAUGGGUAUUUUAUAUACAAAUACGAAACGUCGCGCGUAUUUACACUUGCAACGCAGAGAUUAGCGUUUAUGAAAUGCAAUUCGCGAAGAGAUACAUCCACUUAUCUUUUCACAUUUUUCAUUCGCUAUCUUAAUAUCUUCUUAAUACUUAACGUGAGCCGUUUUCUCAGUUUUCAACACGACGUCGUAUAUAUAUAUACGACCGCAGUUCAAACCGCGCGCAGACGGAAACUAUACGAAUGAUCCUUAUGAAAUACCCUGUUUUUCAGGUGUGCGAUAAUUACUCGUAUCGUGUACAUGCGAAAAAAAAACCUAUAACUGACAUAUAAUUGCGAUAUAACAUUAUUCGCGGUUUUAUGGAGAAUCAUUUUUCCAUUUCAACCUGCACGAAUGCAUGGGUGAUCAACGUUGAUCAAUUUGUCGCUGGUUCCUCGUUAGUUUUUGGAGGCUCUUUUUUCACAUCAAUUUUAAGAUCAUCGUCGUCAUUAAAGUGAGACGGUGUUGGCGCGAACGAGAUGAAUCUCCGAGGAUCGCGUUUGCGAGCGGAUCGAUACACGAUUGUCGCGAAGGACGCACAAAAGCGCGACUGAAGUUGGCCGUGACGAUUACACGUACGUGCCCCGAGCCGUUUACUUCUUAUCUCUAUUUACUCUAUAUAAUAUUUACAUGUAUAUCCGACGGGACGUGUUCGAAUGCAAUACAAUUGCAAUCACACCCGAUGCAACGAUUUCGGUCAAUGUCAACACCUGUAGAUACGCUGGCUUAUUGUAUUUCGUUGCAGAGUAUCGUAUAAUAAUCGUUGAGUAACGACGCGACGAAAAUAAUAUCGGCGAACUAAGACGGAGGUGACUGAAUUCGAGAAAAAAAAAAAAAAAAAAAAAAUGCGCGGGAAACUCUUUUCAGCUCUCGACAGAUCUGGAGACGCGCGAUAUUCCGAUUUCUCGAUGUUUCUCGAUCGCCUAUGCGAAAGAGAAAGAGACUGGAUAAUUACACGACGUAUGGGGAAGCUGAGAAGAAGAAGAGUCGUCGGAGAGAGAGAGAGAGAGAGAGAGAGAGAUGGUCUCGAUUACGAGUAGGUGAAGAAGAAGGAAUGAGAAUGAAAAAAAAACGAAAUGAAAAAAAAAACGAAGAGUAAACGUAAAAAAGAAGUUGGUGAAGAAGGCGAGCUGGAGGCGGACUGACAAAGAUAUUUUUCCCCAAGGCUCGACGCGCGAACGAUAACCUGUUCUCUCGACGUCGGCAUCGGCAUCGGUAUGAUCAACAUGAGCAUACUGUCAUCGGCCAAACUGGAUUUUAGAAAAUCAUCGCGACGAGGUCAUUGAAUUUAACAACUCGUGUGUCGCGAGGAGAAGCAGCUGCCGCCGCUGGCUCCUCCCGUACACAACACGAUGGUACUUAAACGAACAAUAAAUCUGUGCAGUCGUGAUAUUUCACCAGAGGCUCUGCACUUAAUACCGUAUACCUUAGAACGCCGCGUACGUUACACGCCUCACACUUCAUUUCCUACGUUGAAUUUAUUUGCGUUUCUAAUAAACAACUAUAUAAUUUUUUAGGUUCGUUCGACGCGUAGAUGAUGAUCACUUACGUAUACCGAUCUGUCCCACCCCACAUUAAAGAGGCGAGUUAGAAAGUAGUACGGUUUAAACACAAGGUGAGUAAAGACGUUCGUGCGGUGUGUUUUUCAACGUUUAAAAUUGAACUUAAGUUUAAUAUACAUAUAUAGACGCCUAAGUAGUUAUAUGCGUGUACGCCACGCGCAUUUACCUACUUUUCUCACUCAUGCGGUAUGUCGUCCGUCCGUUGAUUUCUUAUUUUAGCGACUAUGUACACGGAAUUCAUCCGGAGCCGAGAUGCCUUCGUGACAAUGUAGGUAGAAAUUAUCCUCCGUCAUUACGGUUAGUGUCAAGGGAAAGCCUGGCGAGGCGAAGAGCGAUCGCAUGUUAAAGAUAAUAAUACCAGUCUACCACCGAUCCCUCCAACGAAAUUGUCGAACGACGUACACGUCAAAUUUCAUCCUAACGAGACGUGCGUCUCACUUCGACUGGAUAAAAAUAAAGUCGAGUUACAGGUAGGUACAUUCGUACGGUAAAGUCUGAACUGCGAAAUACGGACGAGAAGAGAAAGGAUUUUUUCAGAGAAUCGGUCGCGAGUAGCAUACUGCAAUUCUGCACAUGUGUAUCGAAAAAGAUAUACCAAAAAUGUGGGCAUACACUUGCGUCAUUGACGAUAUAUAUAUAUAUACAUCUUUUUUCGGUUUUUUAUUGACCGUAAAAAUUAUUGCUAAUUUAUCGUCUCGACGAGCAAGAUUAGCGGGCAAUAGCGCUAAUUCGUCGUUCAUUCCGCACUUGGCAUCGUUGCGGAUCGGACGUUGUAGGUAACGGUGAUCCGUACCAUAUAACGUUACGAAUCUGCCAAAACGAUAUCCGCGGAAAUCGUUUCACUUCGCAAUUAUUCGCCGUUGAAAUACAACGAGAAACUCGACGCAGCGACGAGCGCGAGCGUUUCCCGCGCGUUUUAUACUCCGUAAGUUACCGAGUACACGUUCGCUGCCGUGCGCGAGGUGUCGUGAUCGAAGGAAGAAGAAGGAAAGAAAUUUUCAUCUCCUUCUCGUUUUCAAAAGAAAGAAAAAAAAUAAAAAAUAAAAAAAAAAGCCCACCGCGGCGACGACGGCGGGAAAUGAAAAGAGUUCGAAGGAGGGCGGGGAGGGAGAAAGAGACGAUGAUUCGGCGGGGUGACGAUUAUGUACCACGAGGCCAGAGUAUGGAAGAAACGCGAGGAUAAAGGGAGGGAAAUGGGAAGAAGAAGAAAGAGGAGGGGGCUUUGUCCCGCAAGAUGUGCGUUCCCCCCUCUCCUCAAUUUUUACCCAACCAUCGUUUCCCCCCUGCAUAGCCCCCAUUACCAUACCGGUUUUCUGAACGCGCGCUGUUCCCGCACGACCGACCUAAAUUGGGAGCCACGAAGACGUGACGGUGACGACGAUGGCGACGUCUCCGUCUCUCCGUCGACUCGAUACACGAUCCGAGGGUUUUUGGUAUAGAUUAUAUACCCGGUGUGCCCCGGUUAUACGGUACAGGGCAAGCCCUUGCGCCGGCCGCGGCGGACCGUCCGACUCUCUCCGCACAAUGAGGAUUUUUAGCCGUCCUGCGGGACGCGCGAGAAACACGAGAGAGUCGACGAAAUAAAAGGAACGAUGCCGACGUUCCGUCAAAGGUUCACACGGAAAAAAGGGGUAAAAAAAAAAGAGGAUAAAAAAAAAAAAAAUUCCUCACACAAAAGUGUAUAACAGUCCGUAUUUUCCGUCUCGCUUUUUCAUCCGGGCUCGCGCAAGACACCCUCUCCUCCUUCGUCCCGUUUCCUCUCAUCCAUAUAUGUAUAAUAUUCCUUCAUUCUCAUUUUAUCUCAUCUCUAUUAUUUUUAUUUACUUUAUUUUUCGGCGUCGCUCGCCCGGCUCGUCCCGGGAGAAGGGAGCGCGCCGGCCGGGACGCAAUGACUCGAAAAUGGAAAUUGGGGAAACUCCCUGCAGCGGCUAAGGGCGGCUAAGGGAGGUGAGCGAGCCGGGUUACCCCGGCAGCGUUCGACCGACGCUUCGGGAACGCGUCUGACCCUCUCCAGCGAUCCGCAGUUUUUCCGUCCUUAUUUUUUUUUUUUUUUUUUACCCCUCCUUUCUUCUCGUCUCGUCGUAUCCCGGCAGCCCGGUGUUUUACGGCCCUCGCCAACUUUCUAACAAACACGCCAUUUCAGCGAACACUUCGUCCGACGUAAUUCCGGUAAUAUACGUGAAUCACGUACGUAGCGUCAAAAACACGAUCUAUAGAAAGCAACAACAUCCGCUUUCCCUAAAUUUUUCGAACGAAAAUUUACGCCCCUCCCCCCCUUCUAUUCGUCGCAAGAUAUACAGCCAAUUUAUUUGUUAUCCCGUUCGCGAGUUAUACUUUACACACUCUCUAUAAGAAUUCGUUCGAUCCGGAGGAUGAGCGUCUGGACCAAAUACGAAGAACAGGCGAGCGAAAACCAGGGCCUAAAACGCUGCGACUGUACAACCGAUGAUAACACAAGGAUCCAGGGGCAGACAUCCACAGCGGGUACCCAGCGACGAUGUUUUAUUGGCCUGGUGAGCACAGCUGGUCGGCAGAAGUAUACGAGCGGCCGUGUGGCGUAUAGAUAGUUUCGGAAAAAAGGACCGAACGUUGAUUCGUAUUACAACGAUAUAUUGAGAAUACCGAGCCACGGUUUCGUCAGACUUUGGACGCACACGGUUUGCUGCAUGCCUCAGGACCUCGACACUGCAUCCUGAGUUCGUAUCGAAAAUUGACGGUCAAAAUGUUGACAGAAUUUACAUCGUACGAGAGAAAAAAGAAACCAAAAAAAAAAAAAUAUAAAUACAUACCUAUGCGAAGACACAUGUGUACAUUAAUUUUCACGAUUGUGAAAAGAGUUUCGUUUGAAAACAAGAAUAAUUAUAACGGUAUCUUUGAUAAUAUUCAAUAAAUACGCGAGGUACGUGUGCAUAUUAUAAAAAUUUUGCUUGUCGUAUCGCAUUACGCAUAGUAAACAGAUAUAUACGUAUUAUAAAGCAGGGUGAAUAAACUCAUAACCAGGUCACCGUCGAAUUUAUUUGCGUCUGGCGAUUGAUUCACGGUUCUUAAAAACGGAGAGAGGCGCGAUUUAUACGUAUUUAAAAAAAUGAAUAAAAUAAGGUGAAAUAAAAUAAAUAUGUAUAUGAAGAAACGAAUCUCUUAUACUUUCAUGUAUGUUGCCGCACUCGUUGAACGCGUAUAUGUAUUCCGAAAAUAUAUGUACAUACGUACGUACGUUACACGCUAAGAGAUUUCGCCAGCCGACAUUUUUACAAGUACACGUACGAGUUUUGGGGGGUGGCGGGGGGAAAAAAAGAACAAAUCGUUGCUCAACAACUUUUGUGCUCGGUACAAAGUAGCGGCGGGAUGCGAGUGAAGUAAAAAAAUUUCAAAAUGUAGACACGUUGAAAAAUAUAUGUUAUAAGUAUAGUUCGAAGUAGUUCGUCGUAGGAUACGUGUACCGUACCGUACCGUACCGUACGUACAUAAGCGCUAUUAAUUUCGCAAUGCGUUGAUACAUAACUUGCGGGAAGGCAACCUUCGUUCGUUA